rnacentral:rRNA from 1 species
CAGCCGUAAACUAUGCGCGUUAGGUGUAUCGGUGACCACGAGUCACCGAGGUGCCGAAGGGAAACCGUGAAACGUGCCGCCUGGGAAGUACGGUCGCAAGGCUGAAACUUAAAGGAAUUGGCUGGGGAGCACCACAACGGGUGGAGCCUGCGGUUUAAUUGGACUCAACGCCGGGAAGCUCACCGGAUAAGACAGCGGAAUGAUUGCCGGGCUGAAGACUCUGCAUGACUAGCUGAGAGGUGGUGCAUGGCGUCAGUGACU